GCUUAGGCAGAAGCAGCCGAGCUCCCUUCUCGUAGUGCCCCUCGCAUUCCUGUUCUCAGCCCGCUCUCCUCUCUGCUCGGUCUCCCCAGUACUUGCCUCACCUGGACACGCCGUUCUGUUGUUACCACUUGCCAGUCACGAUCUCUUCCUUCCUGGAGUUUGCGUGUUGGGAGUCCGUGGAUCAUGGCUGAAACUGCACGCGUUCUCGUCUCCUUGCUCUGGCACAUCAUUGUGUGGAGCUGCUGAACGCCACUGUCUCUAGCUCCUGUAUCGUCGUGCCGGCACUCGGCUCCCCAACUUCGCUGUUGCCUACUGGACCUGCUGCUCUCUCUGCAACAGCUCGUCGGCUCCCUAGAAAUUCCCCAGCCGUCGCCUGCCUCCUCGCUGACGUUCUCCCACGUCGCGUCCGCAGCGCUACCACGAAUUCAACAUCGCCCAGGCGUCCCCGUACUCGGUUUCAGGCCAUUGCACCAAACGCGCAUCUUCAAAGUGCCAUCGAGUUUCAUCUCACCUCACGGUGGCCAGGGAUCUUCAAAGAACUCUGCCGUCGUGGUUUGGCGCCGUGAAUUACCCCUGCGCCGACCCGUUAACUCGCGCCAUUUCCGGUCGAGUUCACACGCGCACUAUAGAGCUCCCAGCAGAAGGAGUGUAAAUUCAAGAUGAAGUGGUUGUGGAAGAGGAAUUUGCUCCAGUGCUUAUUCAUCAAGUGGAUGGAGCUAUCUAACUGGUGAUCUGGUAGAAGAAUUUUGGGAUCUUCUCCUGCAAUAAGGCAAGCUCCGGUGCAUUUGCCACCUUCCUUGUGUUUACAAAAUUUUAUCACUUAUAUGCUGCAUUAGGUGAUAGGAGUUGAGUGAUUAAACACUUGAUGCAUUACCAUCCUUGAAAGGUUGAUUUCCACACCUUGUCACCCAUUUUAUAAAAGUUAGAGAUGCUUAGUCUUGCUGAUAGAUUAAGAAACAUAUUUUGAUCUAUGACUCAUGUUUUUACAAAAAGAAAAUGGGCUUGGGAUAAUGAAGGCAUCAAGACGUUGAUAAAUUCAUUAUCCAGGCAUGGCCCCUCUGUCAGGCGCCAAAAUUUUGAAAUAGUUUAAAAUGGGACCAGACGCUGAGCAGGAAAGGUCGCCCGUCUGUGUCGAUUAAGGACCGUACCGAUUGUUGGCCUGAUGAUCUAGGACCUUUUAACUGGCCACAUACCUCGUCAUGGGUAAGCCUGAACCCGGCUAUUCCAUACGUGAAAAGACAACCGCGCACUGGGCGUGGGAGAUGGUGGGAGUAGCAGUUACCCUCCUGGCAAGAGGCUGAAUGGUAGGGUAAUGUGCUCCCGGGUAGCGCGGACCAGUUCAUGUAGUGGAGGAUCCGUGGGAAUGGUUGACAUAUGCAAGGGUUAAGUGCUACAUAUGUCGUGUGGUUGGAGAUCCCCAGCUAGGUAUUAAUCGAUUCGGAUCGCCGUUACUUCUCGGAUAUGAAGACUGGAUCGCUGCCCUUCAUCGUAGAUAACAAGCAAAACAAAAUUUGGAUUUUAAAAGCAACCUAGUGCAGGUCAAGUGAAUGAUCUAGAUUAGGAAACUGCUAGAUUCAGGCUAGAAGAUUCAGGUAAUAAACUAACUUGUGAAAUAAAACUUGGCCUUAAGGACCCACUUCUAGUAAGCUUUUCUGCAAAAUGAGUCCUUGAACUUUGAUGAGCUUUACCUUGAUUCCCAAAAGCCAGCAUACCCUUGAGAGUCUUUUCUUUAGUCGGGUAAGUCUUGCUGAGUAAUUGCGUACUCAGGGUUUUAUCCCUUGUUGUUUUUGUAGGAGAAGUUUUGUUCCCUUAUCUUUGGGUUAAUUACUUCAUGUGGAGGACUUGAAGCUUAGAAGGUUUUUAUAUAUCUCUUAUGGAAAGGCUUCACCCUUCCAAUUAUUGUAGUUAAGUUAUGCCCUUCGAGUACUAUCAGGACUUGUAAUAAAUACAUCUCUUUCUACCA